AACGAACGCUGGCGGCAUGCCUAACACAUGCCAGUCGAACGAGACCUUCGGGUCUAGUGGCGCACGGGUGCGUAACGCGUGGGAACCUGCCCUUAGGUUCGGAAUAACUCCCCGAAAGGGGUGCUAAUACCGGAUAAUGUCUUCGGACCAAAGAUUUAUCGCCUUUGGAUGGGCCCGCGUUGGAUUAGCUAGUUGGUAGGGUAAAAGCCUACCAAGGCGACGAUCCAUAGCUGGUCUGAGAGGAUGAUCAGCCACACUGGGACUGAGACACGGCCCAGACUCCCCCGGGGGGGGGGAGGGGGGAAAUUUGGACAAGGGGCGAAAGCCUGACCCGGCAAUGCCGGGUGGGUGAUGAAGGCCUUGGGGUUGUAAAGCUCUUUUACCCGGGAUGAUAAGGACAGUACGGGGAAAAAAAGCCCCGGCAAACUCCGG
rnacentral:rRNA from 1 species